UUAAGUGGAUCUUGGCUGAGAACGCAUCAAAAACACCUUGUGUAAUGAAAAAUGUGAAUAUAUAAUCUGUCCCUAUAUAUUCUGUACGCACUGAGGUAGCCUCAACCCCCCCAGGGACCUAGUGCAGACGUGGAACCUGUUUCACACAACUGCGACCUGAAGGGAAAAAAGAAGCAAAUGAUACCAAGAAAAGCUCAUAACAGAGAUCUAUUCGACAGAAGUGUUCGGAUGAAAAUACAGUGAGAUGAGUCAGAAAGUAGCUAAGGAGGGCCCCAGACUCUCCAAGAACCAGAAGUUCUCCGAGCACUUCAGCAUACAUUGCUGCCCGCCAUUCACCUUCCUCAACUCCAAACGCGAGAUUGUGGAUCGCAAAUACAGCAUUUGUAAAAGUGGCUGCUUCUACCAGAAGAAAGAGGAGGACUGGAUCUGCUGUGCCUGCCAGAAGACCAGAACCAGCCGCCGUGCAACGUCCCCUCAGAGGCCCAAGCGCCAGCCAGCUGCACCCCCCGCGGUGGUCAGAGCACCAGCCAAGCCACGGUCCCCUCCAAGGUCUGAACGUCAGCCACGCCCCCGCCCAGAAGCCCGACCUCCACCAGCCAAGCAGCGCCCCGCUCAGAAGCCCAAGCAGCCGCCGCGCAGCAGCCCAAACAGAGGGCCAGGCACCAGUCGUGGGGGGUCCCCCAUCAAAGCUACUAGGUUCUGAUUGAAAAGGAAGAGCAAGCCCACCCCUCGGAAGAAGUGAUGGAGGAGUUUCAGGUGAAUGGACGGCCUCAGCUCUCAGUCUCUCUGCUUCUGGACCCACAUGCCCUUGGACAGGUUAUCUGGCUUUGAAUAUGAUGCAGGGGCAGACACCUGCUGAUGCAGCAACUGCCAAUGCCCACAGUCUCCAUGUCGUGGGGGCUGCUGGGCAGCCAGCCUGGAGGCGCAAUUGCUGAAGAGCCCCUCCAAGUCCAUGCCCCCCGAGGACCCUGGCCACUGAAGCUGAUCAUGAGAGAAGACUGAAUUCCAACAUGUUCCCUUCAGGGGCUGACCUUGAUUUAGGGUUCCAUUGUGUGCCCAGCAGUGGCGGUGCAGGAGCCCCUCCUGGGCUAUUUUCCCUACUCAGCUCAGAGCUGAGGGAGAGGGUGGAGGGGAUCCAUCUUUCUUCAGGCUCCACUAUGGUCCAUUUCAGAAGCCAUUCAAACUUGUUUUAAGCUGGCUGAUUUUCUUAUUGGCUUCAAAAGUUGGAAUUGAAGGGUGAAGGAUGCAGGCAACAGAUCCUUCCCCCACUCCUCCUCCACCCCUCCGAUCCUUCUACUCAGGAGGCCCCGGGGGGUGGGGGGAAGUGGAGCCAAACCCUAACCCAAAAGGUAUUGAGGCUCACUGUUCUUCCAGACUUAGUCUACUUUACUUGUGACUCAGAAGCCCUUUCCCUACCCAGCAAGACCACACUCUCUUGCUUCCUUCUCUUUUCUCUUUUUGUACCUGUAAACAAUAUAUUGUCGUAUCUAUUCAAUGCUUGUGCCCACCUCAGGGCUCUGUUCUUGCUGUUCAUUCUGCCUUGAUGUUCUGGCCCAAGAUCUUUGCUCUAAUGCCUUAAGCUCCAUUAUCAUCUCAGAGAGGCUUUCCUUGGAAAUUCAGUGUGGUUUCCAUAGUUACUUUCUAUCCCAUCACUCUAGCACUUAUCACCCUCUGGAAUUACCUUGUUCAUUUAUUUACUUAUUUAUUGCUUGGGUCCCCUCCUCUUCCUCAUGUAAACUUCAUGACUGCCAACACCUGUUUACUGCUACACUUUAAGUUCCCAGCACUAGUAAGAACUCAAUAAAUGCUUGUU